GACGAACGCUGGCGGCGUGCUUAACACAUGCAAGUCGAACGGGAUCCAAAGGCUUUUUGUUUUUGGUGAGAGUGGCGAACGGGUGAGUAACACGUGAGUAACCUGCCCCCUUCUUUUGGAUAACCGCAUGAAAGUGUGGCUAAUACAGGAUAUUCCAGGCUGGUCGCAUGAUUGGUUUGGGAAAUGGUUUGGUCUGGUGGGGGAUGGGCUCGCGGCCUCUCAGCUUGUUGGUGGGGUGAUGGCCUACCAAGGCGGUGACGGGUAGCCGGCCUGAGAGGGUGGGCGGUCACACUGGGACUGAGAUACGGCCCAGACUCCUACGGGAGGCAGCAGUGGGGGAUUUUGCACAAUGGGCGCAAGCCUGAUGCAGCGACGCCGCGUGAGGGAUGAAGGCCUUCGGGUUGUAAACCUCUUUCGCUGGGUUGAAAGGCCAUGCUUUGGGUGUGGUUGAUUUGAACUGGUAAAGAAGUACCGGCUAACUACGUG
rnacentral:rRNA from 1 species